UGGCUUGGAGCCUUGGAGACGAAGCUUUCUUCGUUAUAAUCGCACAGGCGCGAGCAUUGGCGCUUGGAAAUCAAAUUCCUCAGAGCCUCAAAAUAUGAGUCGAGAAAGAGGAGCCGGAUAUGAUCGCCACACCACUAUUUUCUCACCGGAAGGUCGUCUCUUCCAAUUCGGAUUUGAAGGGCUUUGCUCUCGAUACUGAGUAUUGUGCUGGAGAAGUUUUUGGAUCAGACUAAUGUCUCCCAUCUUUUCCAGUUUUCCUAAUCACCAAGUCCCUUGGAUUGUUGGCUAUUGCCCAUUGGCAUAACAGCGCGAUUGAGCUAUGGGGAGUAAACUGUGCAUCUGCUUGGAGAAAUAUUUUUGCCCAUCUGCUGAAAUUUGAAGAUGUCAAAAUAUAUAUGUGAGACUUCAACCUUUAGGCAUCUUUCAGCGAUAGUUUCCCAACA